UCACACCAGUUUAUAAGCCCGUCCCUCUAUGCCUUGUUGAGCUUCUAUUAAAGUGAAAAUAGAUGCCCUUAUACAGGAAAUUUGACUUAAAUUCAUAGUAAAUUUCAUAGAAAUUUAGUAUGAAUUUAGGCUGAAUUUUCUCUAUAAGUGCAUGUAUGUUCAUUUUUUAUAUUUAUAAAAUAAAUAAACCUUAAUAAAAUAAAUAAAACUAAAUAAACCUUAAUAAAAUAAAAUAAAAUAAACUAUAGUAACUACAAUAAAUAAACCUUAAUUAAUUAAGUAAAAAUAGCAACAAGUAAAAUAAAUAAAAAUAGCAGCAGUAAAAUAAAUAAAAAUAAAAUAAUUAAAGUAAAAGACAUAAGUAAUUAGAAAUAAAAUAAAUAAGUUUUUUGUUGUAAGUAGAAAGAAAACCUUUUCAGAGUUCAUUUGAAAUGCUUUUCAAUUUUAGGGUCUUAUAGCUCAAAAUAAUUAGUAAAUGCAUGAAAAAUAACAAAUGAAGUCAGAAAGGAUUGANNNNNNNNNNCUCGUGGGCAUUGGUCCCGGUUCGUAUGGACCCUUUGGUCCCGGUUGGUGGUACAAACCGGGACCAAUGGGCCACGCUCCUGGCCCACCACCCUUUAGUCCCGGUUCAUACCACAAACCGGGACUAAAGGGCUGGUCCUAGUUGCGGCCAGUGUUUAGUCCCACCUCGCCAACCGAAGGGCGCUCACACCAGUUUAUAAGCCCGUCCCUCUAUGCCUUGUUGAGCUUCUAUUAAAGUGAAAAUAGAUGCCCUUAUACAGGAAAUUUGACUUAAAUUCAUAGUAAAUUUCAUAGAAAUUUAGUAUGAAUUUAGGUUGAAUUUUCUCUAUAAGUGCAUCUAUGUUCAUUUUUUUAUUUAUAAAAUAAAUAAACCUUAAUAAAAUAAAUAAAACUAAAUAAACCUUAAUAAAAUAAAAUAAAAUAAACUAUAG
rnacentral:lncRNA from 1 species